GAUGAACGCUGGCGGCGUGCCUAAUACAUGCAAGUCGAGCGAACAGACGAGGAUCUUGCUCCUCUGACGUUAGCGGCGGACGUGUGAGUAACACGUGGAUAACCUACCUAUAAUACUGGUAUAACUUCGGGAAACCGGAGCUAAUACCGGAUAAUAUAUUGAACCGCAUGGUUCAAUAGUGAAAUACGGUUUUUCUUUCUCUUAUAGAUUGUUCCGCGCCGCAUUAGCUAGUUGGUAAGGUAACGGCUUACCAAGGCAACGAUGCGUAGCCGAACUGUGAGGGUGAUCGGCCACACGGGAACGGAGACACGGACCAGAGGCCUACGGGAGGCAGCAGUAGGGAAUCGUCCGCAAUGGGCGAAAGCUUGACGGAGCAACGCCGCGUGAGUGAUGAAGGUCUUCGGAUCGUAAAACUCGGUUAUUAGGGAAGAACAAAUGUGUAAGUAAAUAUGCACGUAUUGACGGUACCUAAUCAGAAAGCCACGGCUAACUACGUG
rnacentral:rRNA from 1 species